UUUUUGAAAUGGAAAAUCUCACCUUGAUCACUUUCAUACAUGGGGAAAAGAUUCACUAUGAAGUACACACCACCUUAUUUGGUUUGGAUCAUCUUGUGAUAAAAGUCAGACAUUAUCUAUCAAGUAAGUGAAGGAACCCAGAUUGGAAUAUUGAGUGCCUGCUUUGGAUUUUUGUUAUUUAAACUCAUAAUGUUUUCCCUUGACUAUACUGGUCCUCAAAAUAAAACUCCUGUCUGAGUGAACUAUUUCUGGAACACCUUGCAAUUAUAAUUACCUUGUAAUAAUAUUCAUGAGAAAUCAAACUCCAAUGUAAACAUACACAUAGGUAGAUACCCAUUUAAAAAGCAGUACCUCAAAAUAGCAAUCUCACCUCAAAGUAUAAUAUAUAUUAAUGAUAUUGACAACUUGAUAAUGUCCCAUUCUUUG
rnacentral:lncRNA from 1 species